UCCCUCCCUCACUCACAAAGAAUCAAACUGUCACUCCCUCCUUCCCUCUCUUCUUCCUUUUCUUUCUCUUCUCCCUGUGAAGAUACACUGCACGCUCACGGUGCACAGCAACAACCACAACCGGCUACCCCUCCUGCAAUCACAGCCGGCUGCUCUUCUCCCCAGAAUCGGAAGCACGACCGUCUCCUCCAAGCAGCAGCAACUACCGCUUUUGCUCCCCAACGACAGCAGCAGGCUGUUGUGACGUCAACGUCAACAGCCGCAACCUUCCUCCACCAUUUUCGUGCUCCACACCACCACAACAACCACCUAUACCCUCACUUUUUUUAGUUUCUCCAUUGUGCCCAUUUCGUAAGAGGAAAGUAGAGCCUUAGUUGGGUGAUUUUGUGACUUUUGAUCGUGCAGUAACGCUUACAGCAGAAGGAUCAUGGACAGGCGUAGCAGAUAUUGGAGCUUCAUUUGCAUUGCAUUGCAUUGGGGAAGAGUGAUGAGGGUGAAGCAUAAUCUGUGUCAUGCCGCUAUCUUUCGAUUUUGUAGCUCUAGUUAUCUUUUGUAAACUUUGGUUGUAUAUGUUUUGUUAUGAGGCCUUGUGUCCUCCCUCGUAUAUUUGUAUUUCCGCUGCGUAGUUUAUAACUCUGCAUGGUGUUAAGGAGUUAAGUCUUUUUAAAACGCAAAUGUCGACACUGGAACCACGAUCCAUGCUUGGCAUGUUGAUUUGAGAAGCCGGCGACGAAUCAUUCCGCCGUGGUGUGAGAUUUUAAAGGCAAUGAUGCCUUAGAUUAGUUUAAUGUUUUUAUAUUGCUAAAUGCUUUACCACAUGUUCGAUUUUUAGAAGAGAUGCUGCGAAAUUUCCACGCACCUUUUUAAAGUUAAUAUUUAACGUUUAUCUAAAUUCUUUUCCUUUUUUUUAUGUAACACCCGAAUUUCCUCUCGU